rnacentral:rRNA from 1 species
UACGGAGGGGGCAAGCGUUAUUCGGAUUUACUGGGCGUAAAGCGCACGUAGGUGGCACGGUAAGUCAAAGGUGAAAGCCCUCGGCUCAACCGAGGAACUGCCUUUGAAACUGCUUUGCUUGAGUCCGGGAGGGGGGAGCGGAAUUCCCAGUGUAGCGGUGAAAUGCGUAGAUACUGGGAGGAACACCGGUGGCGAAGGCGGCUCCCUGGACCGGUACUGACACUGAGGUGCGAAAGCGUGGGUAGCAAACAGG